rnacentral:rRNA from 1 species
UAGUGUUGUGAACUCGACGAGUAGGGCGGGACACGUGUUAUCCUGUCUGAAUAUGGGGGGACCAUCCUCCAAGGCUAAAUACUCCUGAUUGACCGAUAGUGAACCAGUACCGUGAGGGAAAGGCGAAAAGAACCCCGGCGAGGGGAGUGAAAUAGAACCUGAAACCGUGUACGUACAAGCAGUGGGAGCCUUGAUUUAUCAGGGUGACUGCGUACCUUUUGUAUAAUGGGUCAGCGACUUAUAUUCUGUAGCAAGGUUAACCGUAUAGGGGAGCCGUAGGGAAACCGAGUCUUAACUGGGCGAAUGAGUUGCAGGGUAUAGACCCGAAACCCGGUGAUCUAGCCAUGGGCAGGUUGAAGGUUGGGUAACACUAACUGGAGGACCGAACCGACUAAUGUUGAAAAAUUAGCGGAUGACUUGUGGCUGGGGGUGAAAGGCCAAUCAAACCGGGAGAUAGCUGGUUCUCCCCGAAAGCUAUUUAGGUAGCGCCUCGUGAACUCAUCUUCGGGGGUAGAGCACUGUUUCGACUAGGGGGUCAUCCCGACUUACCAACUCGAUGCAAACUACGAAUACCGAAGAAUGUUAUCACGGGAGACACACGGCGGGUGCUAACGUUCGUCGUGAAGAGGGAAACAACCCAGACCGCCAGCUAAGGUCCCAAAGUCAUAGUUAAGUGGGAAACGAAGUGGGAAGGCUCAGACAGCCAGGAUGUUGGCUUAGAAGCAGCCAUCAUUUAAAGAAAGCGUAAUAGCUCACUGGUCGAGUCGGCCUGCGCGGAAGAUGUAACGGGGCUAAACUAUGCACCGAAGCUGCGGCAGCGAUAUGUAAAUAUUGUUGGGUAGGGGAGCGUUCUGUAAGCCUGUGAAGGUGU